ensembl:lncRNA
GCCGAGGCAGCCCCGCGCCCGGCCGCCCCGCACCACCCGCCGACCCGCGGCUGCGGCCCCGACUGCGCCGCCCUGCGCCCGGCUCCCCGCCACCGAGCCCGGGGAGCCGAGAGGCGUGCGGCGGGGCCGUCGGCCGAGCCCCACAGCGCAGCGGGAGCGGCCGCGGGGCCGGGCGGGGGGCGCCGAGCAGAGGCCGAGGAGCUGCGGAGCGCGAGGGUCCGGCGGUAGCGGCCGGAUGGCGCCGGGAGUCCGAUGGCACGGGGAGGCGGAGCGGGUCGCGGUCUCGGGGACAAACGAGGGGGCGAGAGGAGCGCGGCCGCGCCGCUGCCUCCACCCGGGAGCCGGCGCUGGGGAGGCGGAACCGGGGAGCGGAAUCCCCGCAUCGCCUCCCGCGGACUCGGUGCCGGCCGAGCCGGGACGUCCCGAAGCGCUCCCGGGAGGGGCAGCCCCGGCACCGUCGCCCCGCGCUCGGGAACCGCUGGCCGUGCCCCGGGGCGACAGCCUCUGCCAAAGCCGUAGGGUCUGUGUGCGGAAAGUGCCACGUGUGAGUGUGUCGUUUCAGCUGAGUUUUGCAUGCAGUUGAAGAACAAUAUUUGUCAUGAAGAUUUCAUCUAAGUCUUCCUUGAAGCAGAAUGAAUUCCAGACUCGAGACCUCAUCUAAAUCAAACUGGAAUCUGUAUUAAGCUCAGAGUACAUUUUCAUUGUGUUUAUGUUCUACUUAUUUUUUUUUUUUAUUUUUAUUUUGCUGGCUGAAAUUAGCAUGUAUGGAACACCAAGUGUAGGGGACUGAGCUGUAUUCUUCUCUCCAGGAUAGUAAAGACAACGUUUUUGCUUCACAGAAAGAAAGGAAACAAACAACAAAAACAUAGAAAGAUGGUAAUACUUAUUCACUCCCACAUACCCUGAAGAAUCAAGACAGUAAUGAGAAGACACUGUAUUUAACCACUGUACUGACAGAAGAAUCAGUGAGUUUCAUAGCAGAAUAUUUAGUCUGAGAUAUUCUUACUCAAAGACAGCCCUUCAAAUGUUCACAUAACUGUCCACUUGUGCUCUGAGGGGAAAGAGAAAGUAAAUCAAGAACGCCUUCCUUAGAAAAACUGAAGAUUAAAUCUCAGUCUCAGUUGAGUUCCUACAUCUUCCACUGCUUUACACUCUAUGGGCUGCAAGUCUGUUCUGAGGCACAGGUACCCCAAAUGUACAUUUUACAUAAAUUAAAGAACCACUGUGGAAAUUACAUGAAGUGCUGGAGAAUAUAAUCCUUUCUGAGUUGUCUGACACACUCCAGAAACAGAUCUCUGCGGGAAACACUGAUUAUAUAUACCAGGUUUAAAAGCAGAACUAACAGUUAAAAGCUUGUUGAACAACGCAAUGAUACUGUAUUUCUUAACUUGGAAAGGUGUUCAUCCAUCCUGCUCAGCCAGGAUGUUCAUCCGGCCCGUUUACCAUUUAUGAGACAUUGUGUUAGCAUUGAAUUAGCUUAUAGAUUGUUUUAAUAUGACUUGAAGCAGUAGGGUGUAUAAUUGUUUGAAUGUUCCUUUCCACUGACUGCACAG